rnacentral:misc_RNA from 1 species
GACAAUUUACCUCCAGGUCCAACCUUAGCUUUAAUUCCUUCAUCUUCAUCAUCAGAUUCACUCUCAGAAGAAUCAUCACUAGAAUCUGCUGCCUUUUUAGUGGCUGGAGCAGAGGCCUUAGUUUUGACAGCACCAUUCUUGGUGAUGGUGGGAGGUAUCUUCUUGGCAGGAGCAGGUUCCUCAUCAGAAGAAGAUUCGUCACUAUCACUUUCUUCAGCAACAGGAGCUUUUGCUGGCAAAGCUUGCUUCUUUGGGGGAGCUUUAAUCUCCUCUUCAGAUUCAGAAACAUCUGAAUCCUCAGAGCUACUGGGCUCUUGCUUCUUCUUCGGCGGCGGCUUGCUCAAACCCUUCUUCGCCGCCUUCUCAACCUUUUUCGACUUCUUCUCCUCCUUCUUGGGCGGCACCACGACUUCCUUCUUCUGCUUCUUGGCGCUCACUGACUUAGCAGGAGAUUCCUCAGCUCCCCUCUUGCCCUUCUUAGCUGAUUUUGGGACAACGGCAGGGGCGGCGGCGGCGACGGCGACAUCAGAUUUCUUGCUUGACUUGCCCAUUUCAGUUAUAUAAAUUGAAUAUAAGCUGGAGACGGCGCCGGGGAAAAACCCUAGAUUUAGG